AGCGAACGCUGGCGGCAGGCCUAACACAUGCAAGUCGAACGGAUCCUUCGGGAUUAGUGGCGGACGGGUGAGUAACACGUGGGAACGUGCCCUUCGGUUCGGAACAACUCAGGGAAACUUGAGCUAAUACCGGAUGUGCCCUUCGGGGGAAAGAUUUAUCGCCAUUGGAGCGGCCCGCGUAGGAUUAGCUAGUUGGUGGGGUAAAGGCCCACCAAGGCUACGAUCCUUAGCUGGUCUGAGAGGAUGAUCAGCCACAUUGGGACUGAGACACGGCCCAAACUCCUACGGGAGGCAGCAGUGGGGAAUCUUGCGCAAUGGGCGAAAGCCUGACGCAGCCAUGCCGCGUGAAUGAUGAAGGUCUUAGGAUUGUAAAAUUCUUUCACCGAGGACGAUAAUGACGGUACUCGGAGAAGAAGCCCCGGCUAACUUCGUGCCAGCCGCCGCUGUAACAC
rnacentral:rRNA from 1 species